AGAGCGAACGCUGGCGGCAGGCUUAACACAUGCAAGUCGAGCGGCCGUAGCAAUACGGCAGCGGCAGACGGGAGAGUAACACGUGGGAACGCGCCCUUCGGUUCGGAAUAACUCAGGGAAACUUGGGCUAAUACCGGAUACGCCCUUACGGGGAAAGAUUUAUUGCCGAAGGAACGGCCCGCGUCCGAUUAGCUUGUUGGUGAGGUAACGGCUCACCAAGGCGACGAUCGGUAGCUGGUCUGAGAGGAUGACCAGCCUCACUGGGACUGAGACACGGCCCAGACUCCUACGGGAGGCAGCAGUGGGGAAUAUUGGACAAUGGGCGCAAGCCUGAUCCAGCCAUGCCGCGUGGGUGAUGAAGGCCCUAGGGUUGUAAAGCCCGUUUCGGCGGGAAGAUAAUGACGGUACCCGCAGAAGAGCCCGGCUAACUUCGCGCCAGCAGCCGC
rnacentral:rRNA from 1 species